UAAUCUGAUGAAGAAGUCAAGCACGGUC
rnacentral:sRNA from 1 species